rnacentral:lncRNA from 1 species
GAGAAAGCACUUGGGGAUCUUUAUAGUUUUGAUGUUCAGACGUGCCUAUGGAGUAAGCAAAAGACAAAUGGAAAAGCACCUAAAGCUAGGUUUUCGCACUCGAUGUUUAUAUAUAAGAACUAUCUUGGCAUUUUUGGGGGAUGUCCUGUAAGUCAGAAUAAUGAAUUAUCCUUACUUGAUCUUCAGUCUUAUACGUGGAAGCAUAUAAUGGUGAAUUCCAUUGAUGGUCUCUUUGUUCGUAGUACAGAUUUAUUUUCCAUUUAAAUGUGAAUACCUAAAAGAGGAAAUUGGAAAAUAUGUCCAUUUUUAAAGAUACAUUUGGAAAAUGAUCAACGGAGGCGGACCCAAGUGGGGUCUCAUAGGGUCACUUGACCCUCCAGCUUUUUCAAAAUUUUUUUUUGGCUUAGUUUUCGGCUCACUACAAAAUAUCAAAGGAAGUUGAAAUAUUACAUUUUCAAUAUCAUUUUGAAGAACUCACGGCCUAAUAUUUCACGUCGUUAAUGGUGUGCGAAAUGGCCAAUCGUAGCAAAUAUUACGACGCGUUAAAGUUGGUCAUGCCAAACUAAUAUUUCGAGAAUUUCGAUAACAAGCUAACUUUAAAAAAAUUUUGACGAUUAUACGCUAACCGUAUCCAUAAAUCUUCUAUAUUCUCGCGAAAAUCAUUUCGAGAACUAUAUUAUAAACAUAUCGAAUGAUCUAAAUGAAUAUCGAAAAUAGUUAAACAUACAUUUAACGUGUAUGCUAAAAAAAGACGUAUAACUCGUCUUUUUUGAAAAAAAUUAAUUAUUUUAUUAAUGUUUAUUAUUUUUGCGCGACAAAUUUCUCAAUAUAAUUUAUAUCAUUUUAUUAGAAUAUUUUAUGUGGUAUGACGUCGAAUUUUUUUUUUUGAAUGUAAAAAUUCUUAAUAAAAUUUUUAUUACUUCAUAGAGGUUAUAAAUUUUCAUACUACUUUUCAUUUUGAUUAUUUUUAUAUCUGGAAAAAAAUUUAUAUAUAAAAAAAUUCAAUCGUUUUUAGGACUUUUUUUAUUAUUGUUAUCUUUUCCUCUCAAUCAAUUAAUUUUUUUUUUCAAAUGACGUCAAAAAUUUUAUUAGGAAACUUAUUAUAUUAUUUAAAAAAAUUAAUUGAUUGAGAGGAAAAAAUAACAAUAAUAAUAAAAAAAUCCUAAAAAUGAUCAUUUUUUUUAUAUAUAAAAAUUUUUCAGAUGAAAAAUAAUCAAGAUGAAAAAGUAGUAUAACAGUUUAUAACCAUAUAAAGUAAUAAAAAAUAUAUUCGUCACUUUUUUUAAAAAUUUGAUUGUGACCCCCUAAUAUAAAAUGUAUGCGUCAGCGUCGGCUCUUGAUGAUCAAUACUUGUAAGUUUUGGGACAACCAACACAUUUUGAAUAAACAGACAAAAAUAUUCUUAAAAAUUAGCCAAUUACUAGCUACAUCUAAAAUCCUUCUACUUUCCCAAAAAUUAUUCAAAUCAUCGACAUCUCCACCAUUGUUCUAGCUCAUCCCACCCACUUUUUCUUUUACACCUUCACCUUCACGUCCACCACCACACUCAAUAUUUGAUUGUUGAGGUAUAAGUUUUUUUGACAACUAAAUGUCGAAAAGCCGGUGGGGUGGUGGUGGUGAAAACUCAACGGAAGAACUAAAAAUCCAAAAAUCGUGGUAAAUAGUCCAUUGAGUUUUUUUUUAAAACUUUGUUCAACAAAAAUUAAUUCUCAUGAGAUAGAGAGAUAAAAAAAAAUUUACAUGUAGACUAUCAAAAAAUACAUCACUAGCAUUUUACAAAUUUGAGAGGUUGUGGUAGUAUAGCGGAGUUGAGAUUUGAGGAGUGGUGGCAUAGGUUUUUGGUGUGAAGGUGGUUGGGGGAGGACAUUUUUUUUUUCCUUUUUGCAGUGGACUAUAAUACAUAGAAGAACAAAAGACUUGGGGGCAACCCUGAGCAAAAGACAAGAUUGUCCCUAUCUAUGUCACUGGUGGUAUAAUUGGUUGUUCUCGUUGGCAGAUCUUUAAAUUUGGUGUUUUAGCCUUUUAGUCAGUUGACUUUUGAAAUUGUGCUCUUGGAUGGUUAUUGUAUGGCUCGAUUUAGAGACUGUGGUGGUGCUUGUGUUUUGAGAUGAUGAUGGUGACUUAUUGAAGAUGAUCUUUGUAGUUUUUUGGUGGUAGUGGUGUGCGAUGGUGGUUGUGUGAGUGGUAAAUGAAUUUUAAAAGAGUAAUUAUGACGAAAUGUUCAUACCUUUUAAUGUUUUUGUCUAAAACGUUUGUACCUUCAUUUUUUGGCAUUUUCACUAUCAUAUUCACCUUUUAUCGCGGAAAAGAUCCUUCCAUCAAUCUAGUAUCAAUAAUUACAAUAAAUGCAUAGGUUUUAAGGGAAUUAUGGUGGGAUUGAGUUUGACACUGAGGGGUCCACGUUGCCAUAGGAUUUUAAGAGUAGCAAUGAUACUUGAGAUGGUGGAUUUUAUGCUUCGGAGUUUGUUGGGUCUAAGAAGGUUAAGAAGGACAAGGGGCUUGGUGGGCUUGAAUUGCUGGAGGCUAGUGAGCCACCAGAAGGAACUGUGGCUAAAGGUGCUGGGGAUAAAAUUGAAGAUAUUUUGGUGACGAAAAUUGAAAUGAAGGUUCUGGAGAUGUAUACCGUGGAAGAGAUUAAUGCGGAGUUUCGAGAAUCCUUGCUUUAUAGAGUUGGGUUAACGAGUGUGGUUUACUUGCAAAUUGUGCGACCAAAAUCUUCUUCAGAUGAUAAAAAGGGAAUUUUCAUUUAAGAUUGAAGGCACAAGUGACGUUAAGAGGUUUGUCCAGCGAAGCUCUUGAGCGGACAACUUUGGAAAUGGUUUGUUUCACAUGAGGACUGCACCUUCAAAGGAAACUACACCAAUUAUCAAAUAUAUAGAUUAUUACCUUGAUAGAUUCCAUUGACUUUGAGGGUGUGACUUAUCAAAACUUUAGUGGGACUUUGCCUUUAAGAGAAUUGAAAUGGCAUGUUGAUGAAAUCAAUUUCAAAAAAUGCCUUCGCAAUCUUUAACUCGGGCAUCCAAAUGCACAAUUUUCCCGAUUAGAUUUUUAACGUGGAUGACCUCGAACUCUCAAUUUUCAGACGUUCAUAUGCUCUUAUGCCAUUACUUUAAGAAUGGCUGCUUAUUUACAGACCUAUCAUUUCUUUUCACUAAACUUGUUUGUAUCCUCAAGCGCAGCCUCUCGCAAACGCUCACUCACUUUCCAAUGCUAGCCGGUCGACUUACCACUGACGAAAAGGGAUACAUUUACAUUACCUGAAAUGACGCAUAAUAUGUCCUUUAGAGAUAACCGUCCAAUCAAAAGCAAAAGAAUGUUAUCACUACGUCUAAGACAUCAAUGGGGUUAAGAAUAUUAGGCGGAGAGGAGAUGAAGGGGCAGAGAAAAAUUGGCUAAAACUAUAUGGCCCUUAGUUUUUUAAAAGAAAAUUUGCCCUUUGUAUUGAGUUAAUGUAGCAACUAACGAUAUGUGGAUAGAAAGACAUUUUUCACAAUAAAAUGUAAUAAUAUUUUGCAUAAAAAUAUUAAAACAUGAAGACAUUUUGUGUUAAUUAACCAACUUUAAAAUGUGGUCUUAUUGCAAGAGUUAAAAUUUUACAAGAGGGUGCCUUAAUCUAUUUCCUUUAAAAUAGGUCGUAUUUGCAAUGUUUUAGAAAAUGAUCACUUUUCAAAAUGCUCAAUAAACAUGGCUACAUUUCCACUUUCUCCUAAAUAAAAAGACAUAUCCCAUUUAAAAACCCUCCAUACAAAUUUGGAAAGAACCCUAAUUUCUUUCAAAAAUCUUCAAAACGCAAUUCCUUGGAUCCUAAAAACCCUCCUUAAACCCUUUCUCCCAACUUCACACUCGUGCAGAGGAGGAACAAUGGAUUUCGAGAAGCGGAAGGCAGUGACCCUUGCCGCUAUGACCUCGCCGGAACCCGACAAGUCCCCUAAAGGCAACAUUGACACCCCCAUAAUUCCUCUCUUAACCACCAUUAAUUCUCACCCCUCUUACUUCACCACCAGCUCUUGCUCCGGCCGCAUCUCUGUUCUAGCCCAGCCGAUCGACACAGCCGCCGCCGCCGCCACGACCGUCAAGAAAAAGGCCAAGGGAGGCACCUGGGUCUUCGUAUCCCACGACCCAGUUCCUCCUUUCUCCAUCCUCCCCCUUCUCUUCUCAUCCUCUUCCAAUGAGUCACCACCCCGAGUCGCCACCGAGUCAGACAACAUUCUGUUGCAGAGCCUUGUGUUCAGGUUUGAGCCUUUGAUCAUUGCUGUUGAGUGCAAGGACAUAGAGGCGGCUCAGUCUUUGAUUUCUUUGGCAAUUUCUUGUGGGUUCAGAGAGAGUGGAAUUACAAGUGCGAGUAAAAGAGUCAUCAUUGCAAUACGGUGCUCAAUACGAUUGGAGGUUCCACUGGGGGACACGCUGAAGCUUAUGGUGUCCCCAGAAUAUGUGGAGUACCUUGUUGGGGUUGCUAAUGAGAAAAUGGUGGCUAACAGGAAAAGAACUGAUCUUUUCCUGAAUUCACUGUUAAAGAACGGAUUUUCGAGAGAUGGGAUUUACAUGAAUGGUAAAAUUGAUAGUGAUGGUGGUGAUAUGUGUCGAGGGAAUCAAAAGGUUGGCUCUCAAGGAAAUCCUUUAGGCGAUAAUUGUGUGGAGGAAGAUUUGGAUUCUGAAAAGAAAGAUUUUGAUGACAUCCAUUGUGGUAUUGCAUAUUUUCUUCUAGUUUUUCAAUCAAUUCCUGAGGAUGGACGAUGUAUUCUAUAUGGAUAUAACAUGAUUUGUCACAAGUAAAUAAUCAACAUAUUCUUUUUUAACGCUCUCAGGCUAGACUGAAUUGUGUAGUAGGUACUUUAAAGUGCUAAUCGUUGACUACAUGGCAUUGUACUCUUGUAUGGAAUACGUGGGAUUUAACAUGAUUCACAUGGUAUCAUGUAAUCAGAAACAUGUAUAAUCUGUAAAAAUUUACACUUAAAUGAAUUGAUGCAAGUGCAAGAAGAUAUUGCUCGUACUGUUAUGUACUAAUAUAUGUUUGAUUGCAGGCAUAUUUUCCCUUAAAUGUGACUGGAAGUUUGAAUCUUAAAUCAUUGACAGGAUCACAGAAAGUCCUUGGCAUCAAUCUGUCCGUUAUAGAGAUAAUUGGUGAACCCGUGGAGAGGCUUUUCCUGUGGGGUCACUCUGGCUGCAUGGUGGACCAACAGAAGAUUCUCAUUUUUGCUGGUUUUGGAGGCAUUGGAAGACAUGCACGUAGAAAUGAUUUAUUGCUUCUUGAUCCAGAAUGUGGAAUGAUAGAAGCAAUUCAUGUUCAGGGAGCUCCAUGUCCACGCUUGGGUCACACAUCUUCAGUAGUAGGAGGGUUCAUGUAUGUGAUUGGAGGGAGGGCUGAUCCGUUGAAUAUUCUGAAUGACGUGUGGGUCUUCAAUAUGGCGAAGAAAGAAUGGAAUCUGUUACAAUGUUCUGGCUGUCAUUUACCUCCUAGGUGAUGUUAUAGCAUACAUACAUUUCUAUAGAUAUUCACUUUAUUUGGUGUGUUCACCUCAUCAUUCAUUCCAGUUUCUAUUCUUCUCCUGGACCGCAGACUAAACUUUUAGAGCUUCAUUUUCUAACUCUAUAUUGACAACAAGUUUCUGCAUUUCCAUUCAUGCUCAAAAUAUAAAAAGGUUCAGGUACUGGACUUUCUAUUACGACCUUCAGACAGAGAGCAAUUUUACUCUAAUAUAAAUCAUAAUUCUUUCUUUGAUCACCAUGUUUUCUUAUAUCUAUGAUAAUAUCAGUUUAAUCAUACACCCAGCUUUCUACUUUUUGUGUAUAUAAUUUAUAUUGAUGUUUUACAGGCACCGACAUGCAGCAGCUGUUGUAGGUACAAGGAUAUAUGUACAUGGGGGAAUUUGUAAAGAUGAAAUAAUAUCAUCACUGUAUGUACUUGAUACAUAUAAGGCUGAGUGGACUGAGAUAGAAAUUCAGGGGAACUUGCCCAGUCCUCGUCAUUCACACUCCAUGGACUCACAUGGGUCUAACUUAUACACAUUUGGUGGAUUCAAUGGGGAGAAAGCACUUGGGGAUCUUUAUAGUUUUGAUGUUCAGACGUGCCUAUGGAGUAAGCAAAAGACAAAUGGAAAAGCACCUAAAGCUAGGUUUUCGCACUCGAUGUUUAUAUAUAAGAACUAUCUUGGCAUUUUUGGGGGAUGUCCUGUAAGUCAGAAUAAUGAAUUAUCCUUACUUGAUCUUCAGUCUUAUACGUGGAAGCAUAUAAUGGUGAAUUCCAU